rnacentral:rRNA from 1 species
GACAGAGGGUGCAAACGUUGUUCGGAAUUACUGGGCGUAAAGCGCGUGUAGGCGGCAAGGCAAGUCGGAUGUGAAAGCCCACGGCUCAACCGUGGAAGUGCACCCGAAACUGCCUAGCUAGAGUCUCGGAGAGGAAGGUGGAAUGCUUGGUGUAGAGGUGAAAUUCGUAGAUAUGUCAUAGAACACCGAUUGCGAAGGCAGCUGACGAAACUGUAACUGACACUGAGGCUCGAAAGUGUGGGGAUCAAACAGG